rnacentral:misc_RNA from 1 species
GAUGAAGAACGUAGCGAAAUGCGAUAAGUAGUGUGAAUUGCAGAAUUCAGUGAAUCAUCGAAUCUUUGAACGCACAUUGCGCCCGCCAGUAUUCUGGCGGGCAUGCCUGUUCGAGCGUCAUUUCAACCAUCAAGCCCCCGGGCUUGUGUUGGGGACCUGCGGCUGCCGCAGGCCCUGAAAAGCAGUGGCGGGCUCGCUGUCACACCGAGCGUAGUAGCAUACAUCUCGCUCUGGGCGUGCUGCGGGUUCCGGCCGUUAAACCACCUUUUAACCCAAGGUUGACCUCGGAUCAGGUAGGAAGACCCGCUGAACUUAAGCAUAUCAAUAAGCGGAGGA